GAUGAACGCUGGCGGCGUGCCUAAUACAUGCAAGUCGAGCGAACAGACGAGGAGCUUGCUCCUCUGACGUUAGCGGCGGACGGGUGAGUAACAUGUGGAUAACCUACCUAUAAGACUGGGAUAACUUCGGGAAACCGGAGCUAAUACCGGAUAAUAUAUUGAACCGCAUGGUUCAAUAGUGAAAGACGGUUUUGCUGUCACUUAUAGAUGGAUCCGCGCCGCAUUAGCUAGUUGGUAAGGUAACGGCUUACCAAGGCAACGAUGCGUAGCCGACCUGAGAGGGUGAUCGGCCACACUGGAACUGAGACACGGUCCAGACUCCUACGGGAGGCAGCAGUAGGGAAUCUUCCGCAAUGGGCGAAAGCCUGACGGAGCAACGCCGCGUGAGUGAUGAAGGUCUUCGGAUCGUAAAACUCUGUUAUUAGGGAAGAACAAAUGUGUAAGUAACUAUGCACGUCUUGACGGUACCUAAUCAGAAAGCCACGGCUAACUACGUG
rnacentral:rRNA from 1 species